GUCUCUGGCUGCAUGGAAUGCUGGGAAAGGUCAGAGACAAAAGUAAAAUGAACAGAGUUAUAUCACAGCACAUCUAGGUGUGAUUCCUGUGCAUGAAGCGGGAAAAAGAGGCACACAGAGAACUUGAUGUGGCUUCAGGCCAGGCUUGGUCAUCAUAGUAGCUAAAGUGGCUGCCUACACCCUGCAGUUGGAAAUUGUAGAGCCUAUGAAACUACAAUAAUCAUGAGUAUCCACCGGGAGCCAACCAAUGAGCAGCUUUAACCCCUUUCGAGGAAAUAGAGACUGUAAGUUACUAAGAAGCAAUGCAUUCAUUCCAGGCCAACAUCUUACCUGUGAAAACUGUGCAAAGUCUCUAUCAGCAAGCAUAGGGAUGUGGCCGAGGAGUUCAUGGC